rnacentral:rRNA from 1 species
UCAGGAUGAACGCUGGCGGCGUGCCUAACACAUGCAAGUCGAGCGAGAAUCUUGAAGUAGCUUGCUACGGAGAAGAGGACAGCGGCGGACGGGUGAGUAACGCGUAGGUAAGCUGCCCCUUGCAGAAGGAUAGCCUCGGGAAACUGGGAUUAAUACUUCAUAAAGCGUUUUCAUCGCAUGGUGAGAACGCCAAAGAUCUAUCGGCAAGGGAUGCACCUGCGUCUGAUUAGAUAGUUGGUAGGGUAACGGCCUACCAAGUCAACGAUCAGUAGCCGACCUGAGAGGGUAAUCGGCCACAUUGGAACUGAGACACGGUCCAAACUCCUACGGGAGGCAGCAGUGGGGAAUAUUGCACAAUGGGCGAAAGCCUGAAUGCAGCAACGCCGCGUGAGUGAAGAAGGUCUUCGGAUUGUAAAACUCUGUUCUUGGGAAAGAAGUAAGUGACGGUACCCAAGGAGAAAGCCCCGGCUAACUACGUGCCAGCAGCUGC